GAUGAACGCUGGCGGCGUGCCUAAUACAUGCAAGUCGAGCGAACAGACGAGGAGCUUGCUCCUCUGACGUUAGCGGCGGACGGGUGAGUAACACGUGGAUAACCUACCUAUAAGACUGGGAUAACUUCGGGAAACCGGAGCUAAUACCGGAUAAUAUAUUGAACCGCAUGGUUCAAUAGUGAAAGACGGUUUUGCUGUCACUUAUAGAUGGAUCCGCGCCGCAUUAGCUAGUUGGUAAGGUAACGGCUUACCAAGGCAACGAUGCGUAGCCGACCUGAGAGGGUGAUCGGCCACACUGGAACUGAGCCACGGUCCAGACUCCUACGGGAGGCAGCAGUAGGGAAUCUUCCGCAAUGGGCGAAAGCCUGACGGAGCAACGCCGCGUGAGUGAUGAAGGUCUUCGGAUCGUAAAACUCUGUUAUUAGGGAAGAACAAAUGUGUAAGUAACUGUGCACGUCUUGACGGUACCUAAUCAGAAAGCCACGGCUAACUACGUG
rnacentral:rRNA from 1 species